UAAGAUAAACUUUAAGUUGUAAUCUUUUUAUUUUGAAUCUCAUAAAUAAUAAUGCGUUGAGUUUACACGAAAACUUUCGAUGUUAGUCAGCUUGUUUGGAGUGAAAAUGAUUGACAGAUUGAUCAUAAUCGAAGUUAUAGAAAGAAAAAAUAAAUAAGCGACUACUGUAAAUAAUUAAGGUGUGAUGGCAAUUAAAUAUGGUUAAAAUCAGGCUGAUCCAAGUGUAAAG